UUUGUUCCUCAGUGCAAGAUGACCCAUCUCAGGAAGGCAGAUUAGGAAAUGACAGUGUUCUAAAUGAUGGGCAGGCCAACAAACACACCUUGAAACCAGUGGCUUCCCUCAGAUGAGUGGAGGGACACACGUGUGCAUUGUUUACACCUCCUAGUACUGAGAGGAAAGGUUUUAACCCAAGAUCUACAAUCUUGUGUAAUAGUGUCAACCUCAAGAAACAGAUGCAACAGUUAAGCCACAGUCAUAGAUGAGGGGUGGAGGAGCUGGUUCAGUCUUGGGUUCAUCUGUGGUGAGUGAGGAUAACUGGGCCAGUGACACUGCCUCCACAAAUUGCCAAGCAGGAACCAUGGAUGUGCUAGGACACAUCAUUUCUACCCCUGAAAGGAGCUGGGGAGAGACUUGCCCAGGGUUCCCUGAAUCUCUGAGGAAGGAGCCAGGCUGCUUGUGCAGAGGACAAUGCUGCUGCCUGCUCUGCUCCUGGCCAGGGACGGCCCCACCUGUCCUUAAGCUAAUUAAAAUUUCUGCUCAUAGCAGUGUGGGUUUUGACAAGGUCAUAAAUCAGUCAUUGUCCUAGGAAUAUGAACUGCCAUAAUUGUACGUUUUCUAAAUAUGAACUAAUGACUUAAUGACUAUUCCAGCUGUUGGACACACAAUGAAUAAAGAGUUGGACACACAAAAACAGUGUGAAAAAUGUCUUUUCCCCCAGAGACUCCUUCAGACGCUGAGUUCAGCCUCAUUCAUGCUGGUGUCUCAGACUUUGGGGACCAACAUGACUGAACCCCCGCCUCAGACAGGGGUCUCUGUCACCUGCCCACCUCCUGCCUGCCUGGAACCCAACACCUUCCCUCCCGCUCCUGCCCCCCUCCUCAGAAGCAGAUGAGUCAAUCUCCGUUUCCAAGCCCAAACACACAGGACUUGGUCUCCACUCCAAACGCCAG
rnacentral:lncRNA from 1 species